AAGCUCGUAGUUGAAUUUCGGCAUCAGUAGGUCGGUCAUGCCUAUGGUAUGUACUGGCUUUACUGGUUCCUCCUUCUUGAUGAUCUGUAAUGUCAUUAAUUUGGUGUUGCAGGGAGUCAGGACUGUUACUUUGAAAAAAUUAGAGUGUUUAAAGCAGGCAUACGCUUGAAUACAUUAGCAUGGAAUAAUGAAAUAGGACGUUCGAUCCUAUUUUGUUGGUUUCUAGGAUUGACGUAAUGAUUGAUAGGGAUAGUUGGGGGCAUUANUAUUCNAUUGUCAAANGUGAAAUUCUUGGAUUUAUUGAAGACUAACUACUGCGAAAGCAUUUGCCAAGGAUGUUUUCAUUAAUCAAGAACGAAAGUUAGGGGAUCGACGACGAUCAGAUACCGUCGUAGUCUUAACCAUAAACUAUGCCGACUAGGGAUCGGAUGAUGUUAUUUUUAAUGACUCAUUCGGCGCCUUACGGAAAACCAAUGUGUUUGGGUUCCGGGGGGAGUAUGGUCGCAAGGCUGAAACUUAAUAGAAUUGAAGGAAAGGCACCACCGGGGUGGAGCCUGAGCCUUAAUUUGACUCAACACGGGGAAA
rnacentral:rRNA from 1 species